AGAAAGCAUACCCAAGUCGAUUAACGAAAUUGGCAAGAUGUCAAAUGUGCAUAUGACAUCAAAUUGAAUAUAUGAAGCUACAAAUAGAAACUAGCAGUAAUUCCAAAUACAAAAUAAAGAUCUAAAGAUACUACCGAACAAUGAACUGGUCACAGUAGAAUGAAGAAUCUUUAAGAGGAAACUCAACCUAGAGAUAAAGAUAAUAGUUUUACUGGAUAACACAAUCACAGAAACAAAUCAAUGGACAGCAUUGUCUGAAAUAAGAAGAUAUGUCUCAACAGAACCAAUUGCCAGUUUCCAUACUAGAAAAAGAAAAAGAAAUUUCAAUUCUGAAAUCAAAACUGCAGUUCGCCUUGAUGAAAUGUACUCAACUAGAAAGUAAACAAGACGAUGAAAGAAUUUAUAAAAGUAAAAUAAAAAGCCUUGAAGCAGACGUAAAACGAUUGAAUGCUGAGUUAAAAUCAAAGAAAGAAGCAGAGAGAUCUUUGAAGGAAAAAACUCGACAGCAAAUUGACACAGCACUGUACCAAUUAUACCAAGCAAAAGCAAGAGAAGCAAGAGCAUUGAAAAGUUAUGAAACCGUUCAAGACCAGGCAAAUGAA